CGGUGGAGUAUGUGGCUUAAUUCGAUGCAACGCGAAGAACCUUACCUGGCCUUGACAUGCAAGUAGUAGAAGCUUGAAAGAUACGUAUAGCUGACAGGUGUGACGAGCGCAACCCUUGUGUCCUGUUGCCACCAACGGGAUGUCAAGUAGUAUGGCCCUUACGGCCAGGCUGCAUACAUGCCCGGUACAAGGGAAGCAAGACCGUCAGGUGGAGCAUCCCAUAAAACCGGGCCCAGUUCAGAUUGUCGUGCAACUCGCCGACAUGAAGCCGGAAUCGCUAGUAAUGGGCAUCAGCUACGGCGCCGUGAAUACGUUCCCAGGCCUUGUACACACCGCCGUCACAUCAUGAAAGCCGUUUGUACCCGAAGUCAUUGUGUUAACCGCAAGGAGACAGAUGCCGAAGUAUGGAUGGUGAUUGGGAUGAAGUCGUACA
rnacentral:rRNA from 1 species